ACGGAAGGCAGCAGUGGGGAAUAUUGGACAAUGGGGGAAACCCUGAUCCAGCGACGCCGCGUGAGUGAAGAAGUAUUUCGGUAUGUAAAGCUCUAUCAGCAAGGAAGAAAAUGACGGUACUUGACUAAGAAGCUCCGGCUAAAUACGUGCCAGCAGCCGCGGUAAUACGUAUGGAGCAAGCGUUAUCCGGAUUUACUGGGUGUAAAGGGAGUGUAGGUGGUUUGGCAAGCCAGAUGUGAAAACCCGGGGCUCAACCCCGUGGACUGCAUUUGGAACUGUUAAACUUGAGUGCAGGAGAGGAAAGUGGAAUUCCUAGUGUAGCGGUGAAAUGCGUAGAUAUUAGGAGGAACACCAGUGGCGAAGGCGGCUUUCUGGACUGUAACUGACACUGAGGCUCGAAAGCGUGGGGAGCAAACAGGAUUAGAUACCCUGGUA
rnacentral:rRNA from 1 species